UAGUGGGCAUAGGGUGUGCUGUGUCCAUGGGGACUUCUGCCGGUCAGGUUUGUUUACUUGUCUCCCCUGCCUGCCUUACACAGAAUUCUAGAGUCUAAUGAUUAUAUCUUCACCUUGAAAGUUACAAAUUAGUCCAGAAAAAGUAUUCUCAAGUACAUCUCUAUCCCCAGAGGGAAAAUAAAUACGAUACUGCCUCCUCACUAUGUCAUCUUGUUGAUAGACUGAGCUGUCCUAUAUUUUGCUACUAGAUGGGAAACCACCUGACUCUGUGUACGUACUUGACUAACCUCUUGGACAAUUCAAUUUUUCAGGAGAGGAUAGACAAUUCACUCCCCUGUGAAUCUCCUGAGCAUGUGCUUAAUCCUCCCACUGAGCACUCAGAAUUUGGAACUGAUGGGAAGCUCCGAGCUUGGCAAGUCUGUCAGUUUGCGUAGCAGUUUGGGCGCAUUGGAGGUGGAGGCAGAGCUGGUGCUAGAACCGUGGGCUGCUGAUCUGUGCCUGGGUGUCUGAGGAACACCAGGAAAGGCUCUUUCUCCUUCUUUUCACUAUAUCCUGUCCAGUGGGAAAUGAGAUGCAGAGGCAAGUAAACACCAAAAUGUAAAUAGAUGGUUAAUGGAAAAGGCUUGGGAUUGAGCAGGGCCAUUUCCACCUGUGUGACGUGGGUGAGUUAUUUAGCCUCUGUAAGUCAUAGUUAGAUUGCACUCUUUAUCCAAUUACCCUGUAAUAUUUUCUUUGCAGCACUUAUCCUAUAUGAAAUCAUCUUUUAAAAAAAGUAUUUGUGGUGUGUCUUCCCUUUGUAAAAUUCUGUGAGAGCAGGAACCUUUUCCUACCUAUUCCACUACUGACUCCUCAGUGCUUUGCACAGUCCCUGGCACAGAGUAGGUGCUCAAUAAACAUUUUAUGAAUUAUUGCUGAAUUUUUGAU
rnacentral:lncRNA from 1 species